rnacentral:rRNA from 1 species
UACGUCAGUGGCAGACGGGUGAGUAACGCGUGGGAACGUACCUUUUGGUUCGGAACAACUGAGGGAAACUUCAGCUAAUACCGGAUAAGCCCUUACGGGGAAAGAUUUAUCGCCGAAAGAUCGGCCCGCGUCUGAUUAGCUAGUUGGUGAGGUAAUGGCUCACCAAGGCGACGAUCAGUAGCUGGUCUGAGAGGAUGAUCAGCCACAUUGGGACUGAGACACGGCCCAAACUCCUACGGGAGGCAGCAGUGGGGAAUAUUGGACAAUGGGGGCAACCCUGAUCCAGCCAUGCCGCGUGAGUGAUGAAGGCCCUAGGGUUGUAAAGCUCUUUUGUGCGGGAAGAUAAUGACGGUACCGCAAGAAUAAGCCCCGGCUAACUUCGUGCCAGCAGCCGCGGUAAUAC